UACGUAGGGGGCAAGCGUUAUCCGGAUUUACUGGGUGUAAAGGGGGCGCAGACGGCGAUGCAAGCCAGGAGUGAAAGCCCGGGGCCCAACCCCGGGACUGCUCUUGGAACUGCGUGGCUGGAGUGCAGGAGGGGCAGGCGGAAUUCCUGGUGUAGCGGUGAAAUGCGUAGAUAUCAGGAGGAACGCCGGUGGCGAAGGCGGCCUGCUGGACUGCAACUGACGUUGAGGCCCGAAAGCAUGGGGAGCAAACAGG
rnacentral:rRNA from 1 species